CGCGUGAGUUACAUCAGCUUAUCGCGAUUGUUGCAGUCGGCGCGCGCAGUGGUAAGUGGCAGACGGCGGGAGUUAAAAUGGCUAGUAUCGUGUGCGUAUUUGCCAAAAACUCCAACACAUGAUAUGAGGACCAAAUGGAGGAGGAUGGAUGGUGAAGAUGAUGGAAGGGCAGGUGCAGGUCAUGUGCUGGACAUCCACAGCUGAGUCGCAAACACGGCAGGUCACCUAGCAACCGUGUCCACCCUGGGGGACCUUGUAAGGGCCGAAGCUCGGGUGAAUCGAAGGGUCAACCCGGAUCUACCUUCAAACAUCACAGUGUGCUAAAAAUAGGCCAACGUGCGUGUGCACGCAUGCGUGUGUAUGUGUGAGUCCGCAGUGGAGAAAAUGACUGCCUGAAGCAGUUUCAUGGAAGAAGUGACAUGGAGAAUACGUCGAAGGAUGAAGAGAGUGGUGUUCUUCAGUUUCACCCAACGCUCAUCAAUCAUCCUGUCAUCACGCCCUGUUUCUUGUGCCCCGUGCAUCGUGUCAUUCCCAACCCUGCCUCUGCGAUCCGGCCAUUAAUGGGACUGGGAAGCCAUUUGGGUAAAGCCCCGCAUCGGUGAGUACAGCCAGUCAUAAUACGGUAUUGCGAUUCUGCUCCCAAAAAGGUAUCAAAUAUUUAUUCCACUCAUUUCUCUCUGGCCACUGAUGAGAAUUUCGGGCUCGACUGUAUUUCCAUUCCUUCUGUGAAAAAAAAUCAAUUAGCUAAAAAUAAU